UACGUAGGGUGCGAGCGUUGUCCGGAAUUAUUGGGCGUAAAGAGCUUGUAGGUGGUUUGUCGCGUCUGCUGUGAAAAUCCGAGGCUCAACCUCGGACUUGCAGUGGGUACGGGCAGACUAGAGUGUGGUAGGGGAGACUGGAAUUCCUGGUGUAGCGGUGGAAUGCGCAGAUAUCAGGAGGAACACCGAUGGCGAAGGCAGGUCUCUGGGCCAUUAACUGA
rnacentral:rRNA from 1 species